AUGAGUGGACCACUGUGGAGCGGUCCCAGGGUUCCUGCUGUAACUCGGCUCACUCGCCAAGGGGCUUCCGCCUCUGCUUUCUCCCUCCCUGUGGGUCUGCUGCUGCACCAGGUGUUCACAAGUCUCUUAACAAGCCAGCACGUGGGAGUGGUUAAUGUGGGACAGUGGAAGAGCCACAGGCACCUCUAACAGUGCCACUUAGGUGGGGGCGCAGGAGGACCCGAGGCUCGAGGUCCGGAUGGCGGGGCGAGAGCCCUGCACCCUGUGUGAAUGGCUUGUAGGGGCAUCUCUCAGGAUCUUCCCUAGGAGAUGAAGCCGGGGAAGUGAGAUAAGAGUGGAGUGGGGAAACACCGAGGGCAUGAGGACUGUGAAAUAAGUGCAAAGGCUCUGAAUGCAGGGCAUGCUUUCUAGUUGGAACAUACUGGCGAGCUCUCUCUCUCUCUCUCUCUCUCUCUCUCUCUCUCUCUCUCUCUCUCUCUCUCUGUGAGACGGAGGUGGUUGUUGGGGGAAAUUUGAUGUCGGAUGUUCAGUUGGGCCCCAAAGAGAAGAUGGUGCCGGAGGGGCCGGAGUGAACCAAGGUCAUGAAUGGGAAGCCAUAUAGCCUUUGCUUUACCGGAAGGGAAACGUGGAGAGAUGGUCUUUAAAAACGACUGGGAUUCUGGGGGUGAGUGGAAGCAAAUCAGAAAACCCAGCUGCUGCAGCCGAGCUGGAGAGGUUGAAGGUCAUGAGUGUUGGGCUUCCCUCUCCUGUUCCCGAUGAUUUUCUCCAAAUCCAGCCCGCUGACAGAGCACCCAGUAGAAGUCUUCCCGGACCUCGCAGUCAGAUCAUUCUCAUCCUCAUGGGACGUGUGUCCUCGGGUGACUCACAUCUUUGGGUUGCCUGGUGAUAGCUGGAUGUUUAUCUUUCUCCCUUCAAACGGAAGCCCCUUGAGGGCAAUGACUUCCUGCCCCUUCCUUCAUGCCUAUUCGAUGCCAAAGGAUGUUUCCCUGGAAAACAUGAGUAAAUGAAGGAAUGAAUGAAAGAA